rnacentral:rRNA from 1 species
CGAAUGCUGACAUAAGUAACGAUAAAGCGGGUGAAAAGCCCGCUCGCCGGAAGACCAAGGGUUCCUGUCCAACGUUAAUCGGGGCAGGGUGAGUCGACCCCUAAGGCGAGGCCGAAAGGCGUAGUCGAUGGGAAACAGGUUAAUAUUCCUGUACUUGGUGUUACUGCGAAGGGGGGACGGAGAAGGCUAUGUUGGCCGGGCGACGGUUGUCCCGGUUUAAGCGUGUAGGCUGGUUUUCCAGGCAAAUCCGGAAAAUCAAGGCUGAGGCGUGAUGACGAGGCACUACGGUGCUGAAGCAACAAAUGCCCUGCUUCCAGGAAAAGCCUCUAAGCAUCAGGUAACAUCAAAUCGUACCCCAAACCGACACAGGUGGUCAGGUAGAGAAUACCAAGGCGCUUGAGAGAACUCGGGUGAAGGAACUAGGCAAAAUGGUGCCGUAACUUCGGGAGAAGGCACGCUGAU